CGAGAGAGAGCUUGCUUUCUCGAGCGAGUGGCGAACGGGUGAGUAACGCGUGAGGACCUGCCUCAAAGAGGGGGACAACAGUUGGAAACGACUGCUAAUACCGCAUAAGGCUGCAUGGCAAAAGGAGCAAUCCGCUUUGAGAUGGCCUCGCGUCCGAUUAGCUAGUUGGUGAGGUAACGGCCCACCAAGGCGACGAUCGGUAGCCGGACUGAGAGGUUGAACGGCCACAUUGGGACUGAGACACGGCCCAGACUCCUACGGGAGGCAGCAGUGGGGAAUAUUGCACAAUGGGGGAAACCCUGAUGCAGCGACGCCGCGUGGAGGAAGAAGGUCUUCGGAUUGUAAACUCCUGUUGUUGGGGAAGAUAAUGACGGUACCCAACAAGGAAGUGACGGCUAACUACGUGCCAGCAGCCGCGGUAAAACGUAGGUCACAAGCGUUGUCCGGAAUUACUGGGUGUAAAGGGAGCGCAGGCGGGAAGACAAGUUGGAAGUGAAAUCUAUGGGCUCAACCCAUAAACUGCUUUCAAAACUGUUUUUCUUGAGUAGUGCAGAGGUAGGCGGAAUUCCCGGUGUAGCGGUGGAAUGCGUAGAUAUCGGGAGGAACACCAGUGGCGAAGGCGGCCUACUGGGCGCCAACUGACGCUGAGGCUCGAAAGUGUGGGUAGCAAACAGGAUUAGAUACCCUGGUAGUCCACACCGUANACGAUGAUUACUAGGUGUUGGAGGAUUGACCUUCAGUGCCGCAGUUAACACAAUA
rnacentral:rRNA from 1 species